AUACGUAGGGGGCGAGCGUUGUCCGGAUUUACUGGGCGUAAAGGGUGAGUAGGCGGUUAUGUAUGUCAGGUGUAAAAGGCGUAGGCUUAACUUACGUUAGCACUUGAAACUGCAUAACUUGGGUGCAGGAGAGGUAAGUGGAAUUCCUAGUGUAGCGGUGAAAUGCGUAGAUAUUAGGAGGAACACCAGUGGCGAAGGCGACUUACUGGACUGUAACUGACGCUGAGUCACGAAAGCGUGGGUAGCAAACAGGAUUAGAUACCCUGGUAGUCCACGCUGUAAACGAUGAGUGCUAGGUGUUGGGUAGCGAUAUUCAGUGCCGAAGUAAACACAAUAAGCACUCCGCCUGGGGAGUACGGUCGCAAGACUGAAACUCAAAGGAAUUGACGGGG
rnacentral:rRNA from 1 species